GGCCCGGUCAACCCCCUCCCACCCCCAACCAUCGCCGCUCCUUCAACCCACGUCUUUCCUUCUAGCUCUUCCCGCUAAAACAAUAGACCCCAUAAUAACAACACUUCACCCCAAAACUCGAAACCUCAAUGGCGGAAUUCUCAGUUCGACCCCAUAAUAACCCCUUUCUCCUAUCAUUCGCUUGAUUUCUCAUUCCCAUCUCCUUCGAUUAACCAUCUGAGUUCACAGUGGCACCAAGGAGAGAGAAAAUGUCAAGGUCAACGAAGAGAUUUCCCCUGUUCUUUUCCGUCUCCGCGUCGAUGAAUCGGGCCGAAUUGGGUCCAUUACGAAAUCUCAAAACGACUCGAGCUAUGGAAAUGGAUUGGAUGAAGUGGGGUUUGAUUCGAAUUGGCCGCCGCGGAAGAAUGUUCCUGAUAGAUAUAAAUUGAUCGGAACCCCAGCGCUUGCCUUCAUUAUUUGCAACAUGUAUAAGAUCAUUGGUUGCUAGAAUUCCAAUGUCGCGCCUGUUUGGGUGGAAUUCUUCUGUGGCUGGAUUGGUUAUGCCUUGUGCCAGUUGCCUGGUCGGUGGCUUGCCAAGAUCUUUGGAGGGAGGAUUCUAUCCUCUCACCCCGGGCUUCAAUCAUGGCGCUCUGUAUCUCGAAGGUCUUGGUAGGAUUCUUGCUGCAGUGGAUCUCCCCUGAUUUUGGGAAAGCUGGUGGUCGCGAGGGUAAGAGUUUGAGUUUGAAGCGCUUGAACCCCGAACCAUCUUUUUUGGCCGUUGUUCCAGUCGAGCACUCUCUUUUCUUUGUCAUCGAGCAGCGGCAUUCUCUCAAAAAAGUAGGCGUUUAAUCCAAUGAUUGCCAUCUAUAGAACUUCUUUAACGAAGAAAAGGAUCAUCUCUCUCGAUUAGGAACUCUUAGUGGAGCGGAUGGCGAGAUCGAAGCUUCAUUCUACCAGCAUUACUCUAUUUGAAUGAAUUUUUUGAGUGACGAGCAUUGCAUCGCAGUUGGCCACAGUGUGGAAAGAUGACACUCCAACAGUUUCUUUUCAAGAAGCAUUCCAUUCAUAAUUUGUGUGAUCCUCUUCUGUUUUCCUCCAUGUAGGUAAGAAAGAUUUCCCCAACAAUUGCCUUUGUGUUCCCUGCAGUUUGCAUGACUUUGUUCUCUGUUGAUUUAGGAUUGCCUCCCUGGAAGGUGUAGGAAUAUUAACCAGUGACUUGGCCCUCUCUAGUUUUGCGUUAUCUGAUGACAGUCUCACGUGGACACUUUCGAUUCUUGGUUUGUUUUUCGAAGUGUUUGGAUUGAAUUUCCUAUUUUUCAUAAGGUACCCAUAGAAUUCUCUCUUUU